rnacentral:rRNA from 1 species
ACUCCUACGCCGAUUGCAGCAGUAGGGAAUCUUCCGCAAUGGACGAAAGUCUGACGGAGCAACGCCGCGUGAGUGACGAAGGUUUUCGGAUCGUAAAACUCUGUUGUGAGGGAAGAACAAGUGCCACGUAACUACUGGCACCUUGACGGUACCUCACCAGAAAGCCACGGCUAACUACGUGCCAGCAGCCGCGGUAAUACGUAGGUGGCAAGCGUUGUCCGGAAUUAUUGGGCGUAAAGCGCGCGCAGGCGGUCCUUUAAGUCUGAUGUGAAAGCCCACGGCUCAA